rnacentral:rRNA from 1 species
CCAAUAGCGUAUAUUAAAGUUGUUGCAGUUAAAAAGCUCGCAGUUGAAUUUCGGGGUUUGUCCAUCGGUCGGGCUUUAUUGUCCGUACUGGUGUGAUGAAUUCCUACCUUCUGAAUAACCUUUAUGCCAUUAAUUUGGUGCGUUGGGGAAGCAGAGCUGUUACCUUGAAAAAAUUAGAGUGCUUAAAGCAGGCAAGUGCCUGAAUACAUUAGCAUGGAAUAAUGAAAUAGGACGGCAUGGUUCUAUUUUGUUGGUUUCUAGGAUCACCGUAAUGAUUAAUAGGGAUAGUUGGGGGCAUUAGUAUUCAAUUGUCAGAGGUGAAAUUCUUGGAUUUAUUGAAGACUAACUUCUGCGAAAGCAUUUGCCAAGGAUGUUUUCAUUAAUCAAGAACGAAAGUUAGGGGAUCGAAGACGAUCAGAUACCGUCGUAGUCUUAACCAUAAACUAUGCCGACUAGGGAUCGGACGAUGUUAAUUUUUUAAUGACUCGUUCGGCGCCUUACG